AUGAAUUUAAAAGGUUGUAGCUGGCUUUUCGAAGCAUGUGCACACCUUUCAUCUUCUACUUCUACACCUGUGCACCUUUUGUAGGCUGAGUUCGAAAGAAAUCAGCCUAUGUUUUUACAUACUCCUUUAAAAAGUUUAGAAUGUCAUAUUGUGUGUUUGUCUUAAAAAGCAAACUCCUUAAACUUAUA
rnacentral:misc_RNA from 1 species